GGAGCGUGGCAAGCGGGAGUUCCGGACAUGUUACAGGGGGAGGGGAUUCGAUAAUGGCUAUGGGAUUGCAGUUUACCGCCGCGCCGACGCUCGCUGUCAGACCUGAAAUUCUCAGUGCUAGGGUUGGAAACAGGCUCGAGGCUUAAGUGCGCUCUCCAUUUCAUGGCAGCCUAGGGAAGAAGACGUAUUCGUAAUCGUUGCGUUCAUGACACAACUGGCGUAGACCUGCUGUAUUCUGUAUAGUUUAGAGCUUUGAAGUGUUAAAAACGCCACCAUUUGCCAUGGGCUUCUGAAAAAGACCAAGAUGAAGAAUUGAAGGAAGAGGAAGAAGAACAUCGAUUCUAAAAACGAAGAGGUUGGCAAGCCAGAGAUGUUUAGUUGUUGAAUGCCAAGCUGUUACUAUUUGUGUACUAUAUACCAAAGAACUAAAGUCACUUAUGAACAACAAGUACAGAAUUGCAGUUGGAGUUUCGUGCCUGUUGGACAUGAGGUAGAAACUUUCUCCACUUCAUUUGCUGCAAAUCGGUAAGCUUUUGUAAACAUUUCUGUUAGCGUUAGUUUGCUUCAUUUUUGGUCACACAAAAAUGAUGAUAUCCUCAAUUCAACGGCUUUCAAAAACUUAUUCCAAUUGGUCAUAGGGGUAAAUAAACUAUGAUGAAUUCCACAUAUCAGCCACUUCAGCUGCUUUCUUCUGUGUCAUCUCAAACAGAGAGGGGAAUCUGUAUUUUAGGACCAAACCUUUGUCUCGAAUCUAAUAAUUCCAUAACUUUAGAAUAUGUAUAACAGUCUAAGUCCACCGCUUUCAGAUACUGUUUACUUAAGCUUGUUAUGUAUCCCCGUUAGUCUCAUGGUUUUAUAACGCGUUUGUUAGAUAGAGGUUUCCACACCCUUAUAAGGAUGCUUCGUUCCCCUCUCCAAUCGAUGUGAGACCUCACAGCAUGUAUCAUAGAAUAUGUGUAACAGUCCAAGUCCACCGCUAGUAGAUACUGUCCACUUUGACUUGUUACGUAUCGCCAUCAGUCUCACGGUUUUACAAUACGUCUGUUAAGGAGAGAUUUCCACACCCUUAUAAGAUCCAAAUUUGAGUUUGUGCUCUUUUAUGCCAAUGGAUAACAAAAAAAAAAAAGUAUCUCUCUCUAACACUGUAUGAAGAUAAAGCAGGAAGAACUUCAUAACUUUUUAAUCCAUACAUAUAAUUUUUCUAUAUCUAUGAUUAUCUAGAUCGUGCUAGUAUCAUUGAUAACCAUUUGAACCUACUCUUGGGAUAUUAAAUUUUUGAUAGAUGACUAUCAUGACUUGAACUCAUUUCUUCCUUAUCGACCGCUAGGUCGAUCCAGGAUGAACGGGGCCUCUUAUCUUACAUGUUGGAACUAUUCUAGCAAAUUCACUGGCUCGUGAAAAGGGCCCACAUCAAUUAUUGAGUGGGAGUAUCUGAUCCUCCACAAUCAGAUGAUGUGUAAAGCAGAACCUUUUGAUGUGGAAAAGUUUUGUCACAAUCCGCCAAUCUCGAAAGCACCUAAAAAAAAUAAAAAAUAAAAAACUAUAGUUUUGAUCUUCUGAUUUGUAUUUAAAUUGUGGAAGAUACUGAUAUAUCCUAGAAUGGCAACAUCAUCAUGUUUAUAAUGUGAUUAACAAAUCUUUUGCUCUUUUAAAUUCUUGAAUUUCCAUACUUCUUGCAGUCUGCAGAUAUGGCCUCCAAUGGCAGCCUUAGCGUUGUGGUUUCCACAUCUCCUAAACACGACAAUAGAGAUGCCGAAACUACGAGGUCCAGUUCGCCGAAAGGCCAGUGUUUGUGCUCGCCCACGAUGCACCAAGGCUCCUUUAGGUGUAGGCUUCAUCGUUCGACAUCGUCGGCGUGGAUGAAACGAUCGAAAUCAAUGCCUGCCAACAAGCCUGUGGCUUCUCUGUCUCCCAGAGAAACUCUUGGAUCUUCCUAAUGGUAUGCUCAUGAAGCAAAAUACAUGUAACAUGCCUUAAGCUUAUGUCCUUAUUCUCUAAAGUUGUGGAGAAAGAAAUAAGGGUUUUAAUUUAUCUCAACUUUAUAUGAAAUGGAACUAUAUAAUACGUUUGUGUGCUCGUGCGCAAGCGUUUAUCUA